rnacentral:lncRNA from 1 species
GGCCGGGGCCCUGCACCGGAAGGGAGGGCGGAAGCCACGGGACGUGGAGCAGAUGGUGAGGAUAGUGGGGAGGUAGCAGCAGAGGAUGACCCGAGGCAAAAGUGCAAGUGAAGAAAAGUCGCCUUGCCGGGCAGAGGUACGGGACCAAGGCGCCUCCUCUGGGCUGAGGAGUUAGAGGGAAGAAAAUGGCGCCCUGUCAUGAGGGCGCGAGGUCCGAGUUGAGGGGAGAAGACUGAGGGACACAGAAGUGGCCGAAGUGAGGGCGCUGAGGUCAGCCUGAGCUGAGAGGGCCGGCAGAUCACGCCGCAGCCGAAGUGAACGAACUCGAGUGAGCUCUUCUCUUUUUCAGGAAAUUACUCCAGGAUUUGAAUCAUCACAAGAGAUUCACCAGAGGAUUUUAUACACUUGGGCUGUGGCAGCAGACUAAUUACAUCACAGCACUAGAGUCUUCACCAGCUCCGGAAAAGAAUAUUUUUAAUCACUGCAGUCGCUUAGGAUAACAGGGUUAUCUUUGGAAAUUCCUGCCCUCUCGUGUCCAGUAUAGAGAACUACUUUUGUGUUCUCUAAGGCUGUGAAUGUUAGCGGACAACCAGGAGCAUUUUAGGGCCUCAGCAGAAAGGAGACUGAACCAGUUCCAUGAAAACAUUCUCCUAUCUAAUAAAUCAAAAAAUCAUGACUGGCUUCCAUCAGUUCAGGAGUCUCCACACAAAUGUUUUGACAGUGGAACAAGAGACAGUCAAGGACAGUUUUAUCAGUGACAUCUACCUUCCAAUAGCAAAAACCAUCAACCGCACGGUAA